GAUUCAGCAGCUUCCUGACUAGAGAUAGAGCCAGAGCAGAAGAUGGGCAGAGUCUGCAUGCGGCUGCAGGACCUCUGUCAGAGAAUGAAAUACUCAUCUCAUGAUAGGGCCAGAUUUGAGUGUGUGAAUUUUUGAGUGAAACCUGGAACCCAAAUGAGAAGAAAUCUGCAAGGAAUAACUGCUGACAGUGAAUCUGCAGAGUCAUCUGUAUGCAUAAUAUGGAAUGUUCUUAACCCAGAGGUAGCUGAAUGUGUUACUCCAUUGCUGAGGAGUGACUAUCUGUUAUAG
rnacentral:sRNA from 1 species